rnacentral:rRNA from 1 species
CCUGAGAAACGGCUACCACAUCCAAGGAAGGCAGCAGGCGCGCAAAUUACCCACUCCCGGCACGGGGAGGUAGUGACGAAAAAUAACGAUACGGGACUCAUCCGAGGCCCCGUAAUCGGAAUGAGUACACUUUAAAUCCUUUCACGAUUAACAAUUGGAGGGCAAGCCUGGUGCCAGCAGCCGCGGUAACUCCAGCUCCAAUAGCGUAUAUUAAAGUUGUUGCGGUUAAAAAGCUCGUAGUUGAAUCUGUGUCCCACACUGUCGGUUCACCGCUCGCGGUGUCCAACUGGCAUGUCUGUGGGACGUCCUACCGGUGGGCGCAGCCCGUCAAAAGGCGGCCCAACUCAAAAUCCUACCACGGUGCUCUUCACCGAGUGUCGAGGUGGGCCGGUACGUUUACUUUGAACAAAUUAGAGUGCUUAAAGCAGGCUCAUUCGCCUGAAUAUUCUGUGCAUGGAAUAAUGGAAUAGGACCUCGGUUCUAUUUUGUUGGUUUUCGGAACUCCGAGGUAAUGAUUAAUAGGGACAACUGGGGGCAUUCGUAUUGCGACGUUAGAGGUGAAAUUCUUGGAUCGUCGCAAGACGGACAGAAGCGAAAGCAUUUGCCAAAUGUGUUUUCAUCAAUCAAGAACGAAAGUUAGAGGUUCGAAGGCGAUCAGAUACCGCCCUAGUUCUAACCAUAAACGAUGCCAGCUAGCGAUCCGCCGAAGUUCCUCCGAUGACUCGGCGGGCAGCUUCCGGGAAACCAAAGCUUUUGGGUUCCGGGGGAAGUAUGGUUGCAAAGCUGAAACUUAAAGGAAUUGACGGAAGGGCACCACCAGGAGUGGAGCCUGCGGCUUAAUUUGACUCAACACGGGGAACCUCACCAGGCCCAGACACCGGAAGGAUUGACAGAUUGAGAGCUCUUUCUUGAUUCGGUGGGAGGUGGUGCAUGGCCGUUCUUAGUUGGUGGAGCGAUCUGUCUGCUUUAUUGCGAUAACGAACGAGACUCUAGCCUGCUAAAUAGGCGUACUUUCCGGUAUCUCGAAGGCCCGCCGGCUCGGUUUCGGCCGUUGUCGUGUGUGGUUUUUACUACCGGCGUACAUAUAUAUCUUCUUAGAGGGACAGGUGGCAUUUAGUCGCACGAGAUUGAGCAAUAACAGGUCUGUGAUGC